rnacentral:rRNA from 1 species
UACGUAGGGUGCGAGCGUUAAUCGGAAUUACUGGGCGUAAAGCGUGCGCAGGCGGUGAUGUAAGACCGAUGUGAAAUCCCCGGGCUUAACCUGGGAACUGCAUUGGUGACUGCAUUGCUGGGGUAUGGCAGAGGGGGGUGGAAUUCCACGUGUAGCAGUGAAAUGCGUAGAUAUGCGGAGGAACACCGAUGGCGAAGGCAAUCCCCUGGGCCUGCACUGACGCUCAUGCACGAAAGCGUGGGGAGCAAACAGG